UCGUGCAUAAAAAUGCACGAAUUUAUGAAUUUAAUUCAUGGCAAAAAUAUUUUUACGAAUAUUCAUGAAUUUUCCUUCAUGAAAUCAUGCAUAUCACUAUUCAUGAUUUCAUGACUGAUUUUCAUGAAGUCAUGACUAAACUUCAUGAAUUCAUGAAAAAUAUUCAUGAUUUUACGAUUAUUUAUGCAUGCGUAAAUUUUACGUCGUAAAAUUUUAUUCGCGAAUUUAUGAAUCAUGUUUUUCAUGAUUUCAUGAAAGUUUACAUGUUUUCAUGAAUAAAAUACAUGAAUUCGUGCAUAACAUUCAUGGGUUUAUGAAUUUGUAUCCAUGUUUAUGACGAGUGAUCUUGAUCAAUCAAGAACAGUUUCGUUCGAACUGUCAAGUUUGUUUUUCGCUUGCCAGUUCAGCCGCGUGUUUAUUAGCCACGAAGUCAAUCGCGUUGUGACUUGUCGCGUCCUGUUGUGUUUGCCGGUAAAAGUGACCGUGAUUUGCGGACCCGGGAUUUGGAGGUGCUGUCCACCGGAACCGGGAAAAGAUCUGCGGCCGUUCCGUUGGAAAUGGCAACGGAGCCAAGGGCUAGCAGGAGGAGGACCGAGCUGCAGGAGGAGGACCGAGCAGCAAGAGUAGGACCGAGUGGCAGGAGGAGGAACGAGCGCGGGAGGAGGACCAGGCGGCAGAAGUAGGGCCGAGCGGCAGGAGGAGUUACAAGGUAAGAGACAGAACAGUUCCCGGUUUGUUUCGAUUGUCGAAUCAAGGGGAACAUGGUCCAUAAGACAGUUCCCGUGUUUUAUCUCCGCGUGUGACAGCUUCUUGGUCGUGGACUCGUA